rnacentral:lncRNA from 10 species
CUUGCUUCCGGAAAGGCGAGCUGAGCAUUAUGGGUUAGGGUCUCACUUUGUCACCCAAGCUGAAGUACAGUGGCAUCAUCUCGGCUUACUCAACCUCCUGGGAUCAAGUGAUCCUCCCACCUCAGCCCCCAAAGUAGCUGGGACUACAGGUCAGGCAUGGUGGCUCACACCUGUAAUCCCAGCAUGUUGGGAGGCCAAGAUGGGAGACUCACUUGAGCCCAGAAGUUCCAGACCAGCCUUGGCAAUAUAGUGAGAUGCCAUUUCUAUUUUAAAAAAUAUUUUAAAAAUAAAAUAUUUUUCUAUUCACCUUUCAUCAAUACAAACCCA